rnacentral:rRNA from 1 species
AUGAAAGGCCUCUUGAAAGGGAGAUUUUUGCCCGCUGAUUAUGACCAGAUCCUAUUUAUCAAAUUUCAAAAUUGUGCUCAAGGAAAUAGGACUGUUUCAGAUUACACGGAGGAGUUUCUAAGGUUACAAGUGAGGUGCAACCUUGCUGAAACUGAAGAGCAACAAGUUGCAAGGUACAUCAAUGGUCUCAAUGAUGCUAUUCAAGAUCGAUUGAUGAUGCAACAAAUCUGGUCCGUUGAUCAAGCACAAGCUCUAGCUUUAAAGGCCGAGAGGUUUGUGAGGAUCAGAAAGACAACUAAGGCUCCAUAUCCUCCAUAUCCUCAUACCGAAGGCUCAUCUAGGAGCCAACCUAAUAGAGUGGAAGAAAAGACCACUCCACCCAAGACAAAACAGCCCAUCCCGAAGCAAACUAGAGGCAAGGGUAAGGCAAAUGAAGGCCCAAAGUGCUAUAAAUGUGGUAAAGAGGGACACAUAUCCAGCGGUUGCCCACUAAGGAAAUUUGUUAACACGACUAUCCAUGAUGGUGAAGGCGAUGAGGAAGAAUACGAAUUUGAAGAUGUAGACGGACAAGUGGUUUGUCAAGAAGAAGGUGAAGUGGUGGUAUGUGUGAUCCAGCGUCUCCUAUGUUCCACACCACAACCCGAUGACACACAACGGAAGAAAAUAUUUGAGAGCAAAUGCACGGUGAAUGGCAAGGUAUGCAAACUAGUGAUUGAUAGUUGCAGCUGCGAGAAUCUUAUCUCCCAGAAGUUGGUGGACCAUUUAAAGCUUGAAACCCAUGAUCAUCCAAAUCCCUACACUAUUGGAUGGACCAAGAAAGGAGUGAAUAUGAGGAUCACCAAACAAUGCAACCUGCCGCUUUCUUUGGGUAAGCAUUACCGCUCAAAUGUGUUGUGUGAUGUGGUUGACAUGGAUGCCAGCCAUGUUCUUCUUGGGAGGCCUUGGCAAUUUGAUGUGGAUACUACACACAAGGGCAAGGAAAAUUCUUACUCUUUCAUUUGGAACAAGAGAAAGAUCAUUAUCUUACCAAACAAAACCGAAGGUAAUACCUCUAAGGAGGAGGGGAAAACUAUGUUAACUAUCUCCCAUACCUCUCAUGAGUUUAUGGAAGACUUGAAGGAGGCAGAUUUGUGUGCUGCACUUGUUGUAAAGGGAGAAGAGCACCUGACUGUUGAAAUUCCAGCAAAGGUACGUGGUUUAUUGGCAGAAUUUCAGAACAUACUUGUGGAGCCACAUGGCUUGCCACCGAUGAGAGGAAUUCAACAUAGAAUUGACUUAAUUCCGGGAGCAAGUCUUCCUAAUCUUCCACACUAUUGA